ACCCGCUGAACUUAAGCAUAUCAAUAAGCGGAGGAAAAKARACCAACAGGGAUUGCCCCAGUAACGGCGAGUGAAGCGGCAACAGCUCAAAUUUGAAAUCUGGCCCCCCCGCGGGGUCCGAGUUGUAAUUUGAAGAGGAUGCUUCUGGCGAGGCGCCGUCCGAGUUCCCUGGAACGGGACGCCGCAGAGGGUGAGAGCCCCGUACGGUCGGACGCCGAGCCUAUGUGAAGCUCCUUCGACGAGUCGAGUAGUUUGGGAAUGCUGCUCAAAAUGGGAGGUAAACCCCUUCUAAAGCUAAAUACCGGCCAGAGACCGAUAGCGCACAAGUAGAGUGAUCGAAAGAUGAAAAGCACUUUGAAAAGAGAGUUAAAAAGCACGUGAAAUUGUUGAAAGGGAAGCGCUUGCGACCAGACUCGCGCCCGUCGGAUCAGCCGUCGCUCGUCGGCGGCGCACUCCGGCGGGCUCGGGCCAGCAUCGGUUCGCCUCGGGGGGAGAAAGGCGGCGGGAAUGUGGCUCUACGGAGUGUUAUAGCCCGCCGUGCAAUACCCCCGGGCGGACCGAGGACCGCGCGUAUGCAAGGAUGCUGGCGUAAUGGUCGUCAGCGACCCGUCUUGAAACACGGACCAAGGAGUCGUCCUAAUAUGCGAGUGUUCGGGUGUAAAACCCCUGCGCGUAAUGAAAGUGAACGGAGGUGAGAGCUUCGGCGCAUCAUCGACCGAUCCUGAUGUUCUCGGAUGGAUUUGAGUAAGAGCAUAUUGGGCCGGACCCGAAAGAAGGUGAACUAUGCCUGUAUAGGGUAAAGCCAGAGGAAACUCUGGUGGAGGCUCGCAGCGGUUCUGACGUGCAAAUCGAUCGUCAAAUAUGGGCAUGGGGGCGAAAGACUAAUCGAACCCUUCUAGUAGCUGGGCUUCCGCCGAAGUUUCCCUCAGGA
rnacentral:sRNA from 1 species